rnacentral:lncRNA from 1 species
CACAAAUUGAGAUGGAAUAGCCUACUAUACGCCUAGGCUGGAUGGUAUAGCCUGUUGCUCUGAGGCUACCAACCUACACAGUCUCCACUGCUACGACAACAAUAAAGAUCUAAAGCAGCUGUUCAGCUUUGGGUGGACCACACAGAGCCAUCCCCAGGAGACACAGCAACCUGAGACAACAGUCAGUCAAACAAAUGUAAACAUAAUCUUCAGUGUCCUGGAGUAGAAGAGUCAAGAUUUACAUAAAUCCCUAGAUUCGAAUUUUUAUCCUUCCUCACCUAUAUAGUUCAGAUACCAGUACAAGUUGGGUGACUUCUGGCUCUCAUCCUCCAAGAAGAGGGAAAGACUGAGGAAACGAGAACCAACGCAGUUAUUGCUGAACCCAGGAUAAUCAGAACUGCUGGAGUCAUCCUGUGACCAUAGAGGGAGAUUUCACUGAAUCCUGAUGAUGGCAGAAGAGAAUUAUGAAGAGUGCCUCCGUCCUUGAAGACUCUGUUGAGCAGCCAAACUGACCCUGGAACUGCCUAUUUCAAAAUUCCUCAUGAAGUAAGCUUUAAAAUGGCCUUCUUAUUUAAGCCAUUUUUAGGAAUAUAGAGAACAAAAGUCAGAUAUUACUUGAGAAGCAGAGUGUCAGAGAACCAGGAAUUAAAGACAUAAGCUAAUCCCCAAUCAAGCAUCUAACUGCAUCCUGCCUUUAAGGAUUGGGCCCCAGAACUUCUCAGGGAUUCUUCCAGAGAAAUCAGGAAUAACCUAUCUACUAAUGAUCAGCACCUGUGUCUUUGUGUCUGAGGCCAAGAAUAAAUUCAUCAACUGGGUAGCCACUACAGCAGAAGAAGCCAACCACAGUCAAUGUUGACUACGCGUCAAGUUGCCAGAGGCCACAGGAAAUGGACUACCUUGGAGAAUCAUCCCUGCCAACAUUUCUGAAUGGCUAUGUCACUACCAAUGGGGCCACAACAACAACACUUGCAACCCAACCUGGACUUCCUUUGACCAAAGGAAGAAAUCUAUCUUUGCCCAUGUCAGACGAAAGGUGAACACCACCCUUGCCUUGUGUCAAAAGCUUUGGUAUCCUGCCCAAUAUGCCUGGAACAGUAUAUAUUGGGAAACUGCUGUGCUGGUGGCCAGAUUCCAUAUAGCCCCCCACUUUGUCUGGAGGCCUUAAAUGGCUCCUCUAAUGUUACUCUGGGGUUUCUCCUGCCAGACAACUGUCAACACAUACUCGAAAUCAACAACAUUGUCCCCAGUGAAACACAAUCUCUUUCCUGCUUUAAUAACACCUUAAUACACUAUAAUUACAAAAAAACCAUUGCUGUACCCUGGUGGGGGCCCUGUGGGUAUGCAGAUCCUACGAGUGGCAAUACCUGCCCCCACAUUGGAUGGGGAGAUGCACUUAGAGGUGGCCAUUAAUUCCAUUCACCAUCCAGGAUAAUAUUCCCCUCCCCAGUAAUCUGGACUCCCUGGUGGUGGUACCCUAUCACAGUAUUCUCCCCUGCCACCGGUACAAUCCUGCUUCAGCAAAAAAUUAAAAUAUUAAGCUUA